rnacentral:rRNA from 1 species
GAUGAACGCUAGCGGCAGGCUUAACACAUGCAAGUCGAGGGGUAUAGUUCUUCGGAAUUAGAGACCGGCGCACGGGUGCGUAACGCGUAUGCAAUCUACCUUUCACAGAGGGAUAGCCCAGAGAAAUUUGGUUAAUACCUCAUAGUAUAGCAGUUUCGCAUGAAACCACUAUUAAAGUCACAACGGUGAAAGAUGAGCAUGCGUCCCAUUAGCUAGUUGGAAGUAACGGCUUACCAAGGCAACGAUGGGUAGGGU